CUUAUUAUAAGCCAAAUCUGAAAGAUUGCCUUGUUCACUCUUACUGGCGAACCCCAGCCCUGUACGUCACUUCUCCUUUCGGAUACCGGAGGGUAUAAUUUCAGAUGCCUUAAUUAAAUCAUCUGCAAUAACAUGCUCAAUGAAAAAUGCUGGCCACGACAUUAAUUUCUACAGAUUUAUGGGUUUGGAGAUAACCAGUUACAGGGACCUGUAAACCAGUCCCCCACAGGCGGGGAACCACAGAAUCGCAUUCUGAGAAGGGAGACUUGGUGUGUUUUACCUUAAAUCCAGUUACGUCAAAUGUGAUGGUUGAAGACUUCUCCUUUACAUGCUUCCUGUGAUUUUAAUUUCCUGUUUUUUAUUAUAUGUUUAUCGUGUGUACGGAUGGAUUGUUACACAGGCUAGGUAUUCGUGUUGCGCCGUGAUGUCCUUGCAUUCAGGAGAUUUCAUUCAGACUGAUUUCAUUUCAAGCAUUUUAUGCUCCGGACCCCCUGUGACCCUGAAUAGGACACGUAUAUAAACUGGAAUUAAAACACUCUGAAGUUCAAAGUUCAAAGUCUGUUGUGACGUUAAUAAUAAACACAAAUUACAAGAUAAGCUUUCAAAGAUAGAAUAAAGGUGCUUGAUCCGCUUGCAGGUGGUAAUGAAAUAUAAUAUUUGUUGUAAUAUAGAAUUAAACCUCUUGUUUAAAAUUGACUUAAACUAUAAAAUAUAACAUAAGUGACCAUGACACUGUACUGGGUAACAGGUUGUGGAAGAUGGACAAAAUAUAUAUUUUUUUUUUGGCCAA